UCGGGAAUUUUGGGCAAUGGGCGAAAGCCUGACCCAGCAACGCCGCGUGAGGGAUGAAGUAUUUCGGUAUGUAAACCUCGAAAGAAUGGGAAGAAUAAAUGACGGUACCAUUUAUAAGCUCCGGCUAACUACGUGCCAGCAGCCGCGGUAAUACGUAGGGAGCAAGCGUUGUUCGGAUUUACUGGGCGUAAAGGGCGCGUAGGCGGCGCGGUAAGUCACUUGUGAAAUCUCUGAGCUUAACUCAGAACGGCCAAGUGAUACUGCUGUGCUAGAGUGCGGAGGAGGCAACCGGAAUUAUUGGUGUAGCGGUGAAAUGCGUAGAUAUCAAGAGGAACACCUGAGGCGAAGGCGGGUUGCUGGGCCGACACUGACGCUGAUGCGCGAAAGCCAGGGGAGCAA
rnacentral:rRNA from 1 species